ensembl:lncRNA
AAUCACUCGGUGUCUGUUUCUCCAGAGGUUUAUCCAAUCACUCGGUGUCUGUUUCUCCAGAGGUUUAUCCAAUCACUCAGUAUCUGUUUCUCCAGAGGUUUAUCCAAUCACUCAGUAUCUGUUUCUCCAGAGGUUUAUCCAAUCACUCAGUAUCUGUUUCUCCAGAGGUUUAUCCAAUCACUCAGUAUCUGUUUCUCCAGAGGUUUAUCCAAUCACUCAGUGUCUGUUUCUCCUACUAGAAGUUUGUACUAUGAUUUACUGAAGAGAAGGUUUGAGACAAAACAACUUAUAACACCACUGACGCUGUUUAUCCACUCUGGUUAGGAGGUGGAUGUAUUCAGCACGAGGAGUGUGGAGGGUAGUUGUCUCAGUAUGUCUCGUUCAGAAGUCAGAGAUCAAGACCCAAUACCACUGAUGCUGUUUAU